ensembl:lncRNA
CAGCCAGCCGGGCUGCCCAGGUAAUGGACGAAGUGAGUGUGCUGACUAGAGAAAAAUCAACCGAGAGCGUGAGCGAAGGUUACCGAAGAAAAAACAGAUGAUGGUUCCAAUGCCGGAGAGCUUGUCGAACGGAAGGGCCACAGAAGUUCCAUAGUGUGAAGGUUGUUGUUCCCCUUCGUCGUGUCCUGGAGCAUGGUCAGAGAGAGAGUUCUCCCCCCAAAGCCAAGUGAGUGUGCAUGGAUCCUGUGGAUUAACCUGCUGUUUGGACCCUCUGGCUCCCUGGAUCUUCCUCCAGGAUUAACCCCUGUCCAUAUGAGUGUUUUCUGUGUAAAUAAACUUUUCUAACAU